rnacentral:rRNA from 1 species
AUUGAACGCUGGCGGCAGGCCUAACACAUGCGAGUCGAACGGUAACAGGAAGCAGCUUGCUGCUUUGCUGACGAGUGGCGGACGGGUGAGUAAUGUCUGGGAAACUGCCUGAUGGAGGGGGAUAACUACUGGAAACGGUAGCUAAUACCGCAUAAUGUCGCAAGACCAAAGAGGGGGACCUUCGGGCCUCUUGCCAUCGGAUGUGCCCAGAUGGGAUUAGCUAGUAGGUGGGGUAAAGGCUCACCUAGGCGACGAUCCCUAGCUGGUCUGAGAGGAUGACCAGCCACACUGGAACUGAGACACGGUCCAGACUCCUACGGGAGGCAGCAGUGGGGAAUAUUGCACAAUGGGCGCAAGCCUGAUGCAGCCAUGCCGCGUGUAUGAAGAAGGCCUUCGGGUUGUAAAGUACUUUCAGCGGGGAGGAAGGGAGUAAAGUUAAUACCUUUGCUCAUUGACGUUACCCGCAGAAGAAGCACCGGCUAACUCCGUG